GGUGAUGGGGAAGGGUUGCAGAGGUGAAAUCUCCUUCAUUACCUGCUUUGCUUUGCAGGGCUCACCUGGGAGGAGCUGCUGGUGGUGGAUGGAGGUGAAGAGCCAAGACAUUCCCAUUACAGGGACAGAGGCAGCUGAGCCCUGUGCUGUGCACUGUGGGAUGGGCACAGGGAGGCCGAGCCCUUUGACCAGGGAUGUCAGCCUAGGAAACACACGAUUCAGCGUUGACAGGGGUUGUUCUGAAUGUAACAGGAUCCCACGGCAGAUGUAAACCAGACUCCAGGCAUUUGCUGCGUGUUUUGCAAGGAGGUCAGUGCACGAAUUUGCCUGUGAAAACAUUGAUGCGAGGCUGCCAGCAUCACCCAUUCAGAGCCGGGUGCUUUCCUCGGUGACAAGUGACGUGGUGUUGGUUUGUGAAUGACUCUGGGCAGCUGCUGAGCUGUUUGGCCAUGGAGUUCCUCUCCAAGGUAACACCUC
rnacentral:lncRNA from 1 species